GGGGCUGCAGCCCAGGGGCCUAUCAGACUCAACAGUGUUUGAUGCCUUGGAGAGCCCUCAGAGUUACCCUCCCUGCUCACUUCCUACCAUCCAUCUCUCCCGACGGCUCCAAGGCCAAUAUAAGGUGUAGAAGCAGUAAUCCCAUUAUCAGUCAUGAACAACGAAUUACACUCCCUUUCUCCUGAAGUUUCUCUGAGUGUUCACAGAGCUGCCAGCAGCCCCCUGAAAACUUUACAAAGUCAGCAGAAGAGAAAAUAUGCCACAAAAUGGGAAAUGAGGAAAAUGCCAUUAACAUGAUGAAACGAAGAGCAGAUUCAUAAGAGCCAAGCUGAGCAACUCACACAAAAGGUUGUGCAAAGCAAGAUUUGGUUGGUUUUAGGUCUUUUUUGUCUCUUAUGAGUCCAGACACUAAGUUGUGAGGUUUUUGUCCUUUCCUUUAAAAUGUUCAGGACAGUCAGGGUUAUUUUUUUUAUUUCAAUCUCAUUCAAUGUCAUAUAUGUCCCCAUUUCAUUCUCCCACUGAAAUCCAUCCAUCUUGACAACUAUGCUCUGACUGACAUAACAAGGCAAAUGGUUUCCCAAAUCACAACUUUGUAGACCAAUAUAUGUAACAGAUCAAUGAAGCAAGUGUUCUCUAGGCUUGGAUUUUUGAAAGGUUUUAAGGGAGCUAGGUGUCCAACUUCCAUU